UGUGUGUUAGUGGAAGCGUCUGGAAAGGCGCGCGAUACAGGGUGACAGCCCCGUACACAAAAAUGCACAUGCUGUGAGCUCGAUGAGUAGGGCGGGACACGUGGUAUCCUGUCUGAAUAUGGGGGGACCAUCCUCCAAGGCUAAAUACUCCUGACUGACCGAUAGUGAACCAGUACCGUGAGGGAAAGGCGAAAAGAACCCCGGCGAGGGGAGUGAAAAAGAACCUGAAACCGUGUACGUACAAGCAGUGGGAGCACGCUUAGGCGUGUGACUGCGUACCUUUUGUAUAAUGGGUCAGCGACUUAUAUUCUGUAGCAAGGUUAACCGAAUAGGGGAGCCGAAGGGAAACCGAGUCUUAACUGGGCGUUAAGUUGCAGGGUAUAGACCCGAAACCCGGUGAUCUAGCCAUGGGCAGGUUGAAGGUUGGGUAACACUAACUGGAGGACCGAACCGACUAAUGUUGAAAAAUUAGCGGAUGACUUGUGGCUGGGGGUGAAAGGCCAAUCAAACCGGGAGAUAGCUGGUUCUCCCCGAAAGCUAUUUAGGUAGCGCCUCGUGAAUUCAUCUCCGGGGGUAGAGCACUGUUUCGGCAAGGGGGUCAUCCCGACUUACCAACCCGAUGCAAACUGCGAAUACCGGAGAAUGUUAUCACGGGAGACACACGGCGGGUGCUAACGUCCGUCGUGAAGAGGGAAACAACCCAGACCGCCAGCUAAGGUCCCAAAGUCAUGGUUAAGUGGGAAACGAUGUGGGAAGGCCCAGACAGCCAGGAUGUUGGCUUAGAAGCAGCCAUCAUUUAAAGAAAGCGUAAUAGCUCACUGGUCGAGUCGGCCUGCGCGGAAGAUGUAACGGGGCUAAACCAUGCACCGAAGCUGCGGCAGCGACGCUUAUGCGUUGUUGGGUAGGGGAGCGUUCUGUAAGCCUGUGAAGGUGUACUGUGAGGUAUGCUGGAGGUAUCAGAAGUGCGAAUGCUGACAUAAGUAACGAUAAAGCGGGUGAAAAGCCCGCUCGCCGGAAGACCAAGGGUUCCUGUCCAACGUUAAUCGGGGCAGGGUGAGUCGACCCCUAAGGCGAGGCCGAAAGGCGUAGUCGAUGGGAAACAGGUUAAUAUUCCUGUACUUGGUGUUACUGCGAAGGGGGGACGGAGAAGGCUAUGUUGGCCGGGCGACGGUUGUCCCGGUUUAAGCGUGUAGGCUGGUUUUCCAGGCAAAUCCGGAAAAUCAAGGCUGAGGCGUGAUGACGAGGCACUACGGUGCUGAAGCAACAAAUGCCCUGCUUCCAGGAAAAGCCUCUAAGCAUCAGGUAACAUCAAAUCGUACCCCAAACCGACACAGGUGGUCAGGUAGAGAAUACCAAGGCGCUUGAGAGAACUCGGGUGAAGGAACUAGGCAAAAUGGUGCCGUAACUUCGGGAGAAGGCACGCUGAUAUGUAGGUGAAGUCCCUCGCGGAUGGAGCUGAAAUCAGUCGAAGAUACCAGCUGGCUGCAACUGUUUAUUAAAAACACAGCACUGUGCAAACACGAAAGUGGACGUAUACGGUGUGACGCCUGCCCGGUGCCGGAAGGUUAAUUGAUGGGGUUAGCGCAAGCGAAGCUCUUGAUCGAAGCCCCGGUAAACGGCGGCCGUAACUAUAACGGUCCUAAGGUAGCGAAAUUCCUUGUCGGGUAAGUUCCGACCUGCACGAAUGGCGUAAUGAUGGCCAGGCUGUCUCCACCCGAGACUCAGUGAAAUUGAACUCGCUGUGAAGAUGCAGUGUACCCGCGGCAAGACGGAAAGACCCCGUGAACCUUUACUAUAGCUUGACACUGAACAUUGAGCCUUGAUGUGUAGGAUAGGUGGGAGGCUUUGAAGUGUGGACGCCAGUCUGCAUGGAGCCGACCUUGAAAUACCACCCUUUAAUGUUUGAUGUUCUAACGUGGACCCGUAAUCCGGGUUGCGGACAGUGUCUGGUGGGUAGUUUGACUGGGGCGGUCUCCUCCUAAAGAGUAACGGAGGAGCACGAAGGUUGGCUAAUCCUGGUCGGACAUCAGGAGGUUAGUGCAAUGGCAUAAGCCAGCUUGACUGCGAGCGUGACGGCGCGAGCAGGUGCGAAAGCAGGUCAUAGUGAUCCGGUGGUUCUGAAUGGAAGGGCCAUCGCUCAACGGAUAAAAGGUACUCCGGGGAUAACAGGCUGAUACCGCCCAAGAGUUCAUAUCGACGGCGGUGUUUGGCACCUCGAUGUCGGCUCAUCACAUCCUGGGGCUGAAGUAGGUCCCAAGGGUAUGGCUGUUCGCCAUUUAAAGUGGUACGCGAGCUGGGUUUAGAACGUCGUGAGACAGUUCGGUCCCUA
rnacentral:rRNA from 1 species